rnacentral:rRNA from 1 species
GCGGUGUAGGUGGAAGAAGAGGUGGAGGAGGAGGAUGAGGUAGCCAACACUGUUUUUUUUUUAUAUAUAUAUAUAUUUUUUAAUUGGGUUAGUCCCCAAUUAUAUUGGGACAUAUAAAAAAAGACAACUCUGUUCCGAGGAUUAGCUGUUGACAUUAUAGUUGCGCAGGCACUUUGUUGACUCUAGAGAACCUCGGGCCAAUCUCACAUCCCCGUGGCGGCGACUUUGCAUGCGGAUGUCAUCCAUACCAACUUUCAAUGCCAGUUUCUGCGCCUACCAUGGUGACCACGGGUAACAGGGAAUCAGGGUUCCAUUCCGUACAGGGACCCUGAGAAACAGCUACCACAUGCAAGGAAGGCAGCAGGCG